rnacentral:rRNA from 1 species
CACGUAGGGUGCGAGCGUUGUCCGGAAUUAUUGGGCGUAAAGAGCUCGUAGGCGGUGUGUCGCGUCGGCCGUGAAAACCUGCAGCUUAACUGUGGGCUUGCGGUCGAUACGGGCAUCACUGGAGUUCGGCAGGGGAGACUGGAAUUCCUGGUGUAGCGGUAAAAUGCGCAGAUAUCAGGAGGAACACCGGUGGCGAAGGCGGGUCUCUGGGCCGAUACUGACGCUGAGGAGCGAAAGCGUGGGGAGCGAACAGG